rnacentral:rRNA from 1 species
UACGAAGGGGGCUAGCGUUGCUCGGAAUCACUGGGCGUAAAGGGUGCGUAGGCGGGUCUUUAAGUCAGGGGUGAAAUCCUGGAGCUCAACUCCAGAACUGCCUUUGAUACUGGCGAUCUCGAGUCCGGGAGAGGUGAGUGGAACUGCGAGUGUAGAGGUGAAAUUCGUAGAUAUUCGCAAGAACACCAGUGGCGAAGGCGGCUCACUGGCCCGGUACUGACGCUGAGGUGCGGAAAGCGUGGGGAGCAAACAGGG